CUUUACAUAAUCAUGGCGCCCAUCAGCAUGCUGGAAACUACAACCUGAGGGGAUCACUGUGGUCAAGGGACGAGACAACAAGCGGUAAUAGCUUGAAAGGAAGGCAUAAUUGGUUAUAAAGAAAACAAAGCAAAAGAAAGAGGGAGAUGAAGAGUGGCAGACAGCAGUAGAGAGAGAGCUGAACUAAGGGAUGGGAGAUAUGUCUGGAUGAGUGUGUUAGAACCGAGGCCUGGGGCCAUUCUGAGAGCGAGAACCAUAACCUGCCUAAGGGAAGAGGGACUAGCCUCUGCUAACACAGAAUGAGCUCUGGGGCUUGGGUUUGUGCUGUGGUUGAGCUGGUAAACCCAUGAGGUGAGCAGAUCCUAACCCCUGACAUGCACGAGAGACGCUUGUUUAUCUACCAUCUGUGAGCUUUAAGAGAGCGUUGUUUGAGAAACACGCUGGAUUGUGACCUUAAGCAGAAGAAACAAAGUCAUACAGGCUUGGAACCACAUGAGGUCUUGUAAAAUCAUUUUAACAAACAAAAGCCAGUUCCUGUAUGAUGUCAUCCUACAGGAAGUGACAUCAUUUUGGAGGGAAAUCGACAGCAGCGCAAAUAUCGGAACUUCUCUCUGCCAUUCAUAGGCAAAACAGAUAGUCCGAUAGGCCAAUGGUUGAGCCAAGUCGGGCUAGUUGGGACAGACUCUGCAUUAACCUGGGAUAAAUCAAAGUAUUUAACAGCAAAAAAUGACACAUUUCAGCUUUAAAUGAAGCAGAACUGAAAGAGAGGACAGUGACAGCAUACACCUGAUUCACCUGCUCUGUCACAUGGCCUGUCAUCCCUCGCUCCGUGUUAAAAGCGCUCUGAGAGGCAGCUAAUGCUGCUCAACAACACGCCUGAGCUUUGAAGAGCUGCGCCAGAGACACACUCGCGGUCCGGGUUACAUCCUCGCUGCCACGAAGAAAGAAAAGUCAUAUAGAUGGUUUGAAACAUCACAAGAGUGAGUAAAACAUAUAUAUUUACAUUUAGUAAAUAAAUGUAUAUAUACUGUAAUAACAAAAUCUUCAUUUUUGUGUGUUAGUUUCACUCUUAGAAGAAAAGGUUUUGUCAGGCACUUCAUAAUCUUUUAGGGUUUCCCAUCAUGGGAACAUUUUAUGGAUUUAGUUUUAAUUCAUUUUUUAUUGUGAUUUAAAUUUAUUGAAUUAAAUGGCUCAUAAACAUACUUUAUCACUAGAAAAAAAAUUAAAUAACCUUUUAAACAUAAAAGUAUUAUGUAAUCAUUUAAGGACAUUUUUCAUUGUAUGGAACCUUUUUUGUCCUAAAGCGUUCUUUUAAGUUGAGUUGAGAACCCUAGAGUUCUAUAUAGAACCCCAAUGAACCUUUUAUUCUAAGAGUGUUCCUUUAAAUGUGAUGACACAUGUUGCUUCAUUGCUCAUGACCUACACACAAGAAGAAGCCAAUUUCUUUCACAGUAAAACAUCUCCAUGUUAGGUUAACCAGCAGUGUCAUCAAAGGGAAGGUAACAUGUAAUUCAGCUUGUUUUAAAACCAUCUAACUGCAGCCUACAGGCAAUUCAUUUACUAUGAAGAAAUCAACAGCCAAGUUGACCCCAACCGAUCCUAGAAUCAAGUGUCUGUGUGUAGUUAUUAUUCUAUAGCCUUCAUGUAUCAUAUCUGAGAUUACAUAUGAGUUAAGAGUGUUAAUCAUACUGUAAAAAAAAAAAAAAAAAAAGGGUACGAUAUAUAUCUGAAGGAAUUUUCCCUAUUUAUUUAUUUUUUUCGCAGGUGUUUUACCUGUAUUUUGAAUUACGCAUUGAAUUUGUGUUGUGUUUUAGGGUUAAUGGAAAUUUCCAUAAAAUUACUGGAUAAUAUCCUGGCAGAAAAUUACCAGUAGGCCUACAUUUUCCUUUUUUAAAAAAUUAAAUCUUAAUCAACUCAGUUUAUUUAUUUUCUUCAUGUGUGUUCCCAGUCUUAUUGUGAACAGUUCAUCAAUGCAUGUUGUUCCAGUGUCUUUCAGUGCAGGAAGCUACUUUUCUUUUCAGCCGACGUCACAAUGAAAGAAGCUGUGUUUUAAAAGGGAAGUAUACAUUCAGAUCUGACUGCAUUCUGGUACGCACCCUCUUUUCAUCCUCCAGUAAGUUCCCAGUAGAUAAUAUCAAGUCCUUCCCUACCUCUUUUUCUCAUUUAGCAUUCAGUUUUUCUUGAAAAUAAGUAAAAUUGUUUGCAAAUGCUGAUUCAU